UCUCUUUCUUAAUUGGCAAAUUUUUAUAUAGCACAACUUUGGGCUCCUUAAGCACUAAGUUCCCCAUCUCGAGCUUCCGGGAUGUGCUCUUCUGGUCCAGCCGCUUGCAGUGAUUCCUCAGUUUGAUCUUGGAAAGUAAAGGCUUCGCCGGCUUUCUCAGUUUCUUUGGUACCCUGGAAUUGUUCAUGUGCACUAGCUUAGGUGAGGUAGAGUUGGAAGCCGCUGGGACUCUUGGCAUGGACUGCCUCGUCAGUGCUCUGCUCUUGCUGUUCUUUUUCACACCAACUGAAGACUUUCGGUUAGAAGCUGUGAAGUUUACAAGAAAAAAAAAAGAUGAAACCAGCUUGGUAUUGCAACAGGACAUAAAUAAUCUAUCCCCAAAGCAGACCACCGGCCACAAACUGCUGACACACACAUAUGCAAGGCAGCCCUCCAGGGGCAGUCUCAACAGAACCCCAUAUUGUCUCUACUAUGGUUCAAGGGUCUUAGCAUGUAUCUCCCAUGUCAGUGCUCACUGGUCCAGACUAAGUAUUUUUCUUACAUAAAAGAUUUAAAGGGAAAGCAAA
rnacentral:lncRNA from 1 species